rnacentral:rRNA from 1 species
CCUACGGGAGGCAGCAGUAGGGAAUAUUGCUCAAUGGGGGAAACCCUGAAGCAGCAACGCCGCGUGGAGGAUGAAGGUUUUAGGAUUGUAAACUCCUGUUGUUAGAGAAGAUUAUGACGGUAUCUAACGAAUAAGCACCGGCUAACUCCGUGCCAGCAGCCGCGGUAAUACGGAGGGUGCAAGCGUUACUCGGAAUCACUGGGCGUAAAGAGUGCGUAGGCGGGGUAAUAAGUCAGAUGUGAAAUCCUGUAGCUUAACCACAGAACUGCAUUUGAAACUGUUACUCUGGAGUGUGGGAGAGGUAGGUGGAAUUCUUGGUGUAGGGGUAAAAUGCGUAGAGAUCAAGAGGAAUACUCAUUGCGAAGGCGACCUGCUGGAACAUUACUGACGCUGAGGCACGAAAGCGUGGGGAGCAAACAGGAUUAGAUACCCGAGUAGUC